CCUAACGUGACCUUCUCUCGUUUCAUCUCCCACAUGACCCGCCGCCUCUCUCUCGUUUCCUCUUCCACCCGAUCCGCCGUCGCGAGCAUGACCUCCACCUUCCGUGUUGCGCCUCGUCCAUCCAGCCUCAUCAAGAUGCGACACAUCCAUGUCCUCCCCCAUCCACGGCCAUCGGAGAGCAGGAGAGGUAAUAGAUAACCCUCGACCGGCCUCCCGCAUGGUGUAGGGGCUGAGGUGAGGAGGAUGGAGAGGCGGCGGGUGGAGGGGACGAGUGGUCUUCCCUAGGAUGUGCACGGGGAGAAGGAUGCGCAUGUGUUGCUGUAGCAGGAAGGAAGUCCCCACCCUGAAGAUGUUCCUUGCUGCAGAUUUAUGGAUAGAUGUGAAUUAGGGAGAGCGGUUCGAAUACUACCAUCAGAAAAAUCUAUUUGAGAAUCACAGUUUUUUCUGGUCUCGAAAAAUGUAUUAAGUUCAAUCUGAACUUUAUCUUCAGAGAAGAUGGUGUUUGUUUCCUGCAGACCGUCUGCCAAUACCCGAGGACUGAUGAUCAAGCUUAUAAUAUAUAGAAGAACGAGGAGGCAUUGUAAUCGCUGCUGAAGAAGUAUAUCCAUUCAAACAAGGAUGGUGCCUCUCGAUUGAAGAUUUAGAAAUAUUAUCACAUUUUCCAAUUAGAAAUGAGGUAGUACCGUGGUCAUGUAAAGAGUGAUUUUCACCCAAAUUUCUUAAAUGGUAUACUAAUUGUAGAAUUGUAUGGUGGAAUUUUGUCAAUUUCUCUCUUGUCUAUUAAUAAAAGAGG